AAUAGCACUAAUGUUCAGGUCAAAGUGAAUCCUUUUAAGCACACAUGUCAGGAAUCAACCCUUAGGAAGGAUACAAUCAGUAGAGCCAAGUCAAGAUGGGUGGCAGAAGAAGUAAAAAAGUGGGUGAAAGAAAACCAGCAAGUGGGUCCAAAGGAAUUGCAGAAGAACAUCAAAGAUAAGUUCAAGAUAGAUUUACCAUACAUGAGGUUGUUCAAUGGUAAACAACAUGCUAUGGAUUCUAUUUAUGGUAACUGGCAGGAAAGUUUUCAAUUGUUGUAUUCAUUCAAAGGUGAAGUGGAGAGGACAAGCCCAGGUAGUAUUGUAGAUAUUGAUCACCACACCGUGGAGUACACAUUCAGGGGAGUGACAAAGACCAAGGAAUGUUUUAGAAGGGUUUUUGUCUGCUUUGAGGCUUGUCGCCGGGGUUUUUUGGCAGGCUGCAGGCCUUAUUUGGCUAUUGAUGCCACUUUUCUCACAGGAAGGUUUAAAGGACAGUUAGUAGCAGCUUGUGCAGUUGAUGCACAUAGUUUUGUAUUUCCAGUUGCCUAUGGUGUGCUAGAGACAGAGUCUGAGGAGAGCUGGACUUGGUUUUUGCAUAAUCUCCGCCGGGCUAUUGCACAUCCCAAUGGGUUGGUCAUUCAUACAGAUGCCUGCAAAGGUUUAGAAGUGGCCGUGGACAAUGUGUUCCCUGGAGUAGAGCAUAGGGAAUGCAUGCGUCACCUUGCUGCAAAUUUCAUGAAGAAAUUCAAAGGAAAGGUGUAUAUCGACAAUUUAUGGCCAGCAUCUUUGACAUGCAGUGUGAAGAAGCACAACUACCACUUGAGGCAGUUAUACAUGAAUCCCAAAGUGAAAGAAUACUUGGAAACACACCACUCCAAGUUAUGGGCCAGAAGCCAAUUCAGUGAAGUGAGCAAAGUUGACUAUGUGCACAAUAAUCUAGCAGAGUCUUUCAACUCAACUAUCCGGAAA
rnacentral:rRNA from 1 species